rnacentral:rRNA from 1 species
ACGUAUGGUGCAAGCGUUAUCCGGAUUUACUGGGUGUAAAGGGAGCGUAGACGGUUGUGUAAGUCUGAUGUGAAAGCCCGGGGCUCAACCCUGGGACUGCAUUGGAAACUAUGUAACUAGAGUGUCGGAGAGGUAAGCGGAAUUCCUAGUGUAGCGGUGAAAUGCGUAGAUAUUAGGAGGAACACCAGUGGCGAAGGCGGCUUACUGGACGAUCACUGACGUUGAGGCUCGAAAGCGUGGGGAGCAAACAG